rnacentral:rRNA from 1 species
UACGGAGGAUGCAAGCGUUAUCCGGAAUUAUUGGGCGUAAAGCGUCCGCAGGUGGUUUUACAAGUCUGCUGUCAAAGCGCGGAGCUUAACUUCGUAUCGGCAGUGGAAACUGUGGAACUAGAGUUUGGUAGGGGUCACGGGAAUUCCCAGUGUAGCGGUGAAAUGCGUAGAUAUUGGGAGGAACACCAGUGGCGAAGGCGGCCUUCUGGGCUCAACCUGACGCUGAUACGCGAAAGCGUGGGGAGCGAACCGG